rnacentral:rRNA from 1 species
GGGCAGGGUGAGUCGACCCCUAAGGCGAGGCCGAAAGGCGUAGUCGAUGGGAAACAGGUUAAUAUUCCUGUACUUGGUGUUACUGCGAAGGGGGGACGGAGAAGGCUAUGUUAGCCGGGCGACGGUUGUCCCGGUUUAAGCAUGUAGGCUGGUUGUCCAGGCAAAUCCGGAUAAUCAAGGCUGAGGUGUGAUGACGAGGCACUACGGUGCUGAAGUAACAAAUGCCCUGCUUCCAGGAAAAGCCUCUAAGCAUCAGGUAACAUCAAAUCGUACCCCAAACCGACACAGGUGGUCAGGUAGAGAAUACCAAGGCGCUUGAGAGAACUCGGGUGAAGGAACUAGGCAAAAUGGU